rnacentral:rRNA from 1 species
AGGGGGGAAGGACCAACAGGGAUUACCUCAGUAACGGCGAGUGAAGCGGUAACAGCUCAAAUUUGAAAUCUGGAUCUUUCAGAUCCCGAGUUGUAAUUUGUAGAAGAUGCUUUGGGUAUAGUUUCGGUCUAAGUUCCUUGGAACAGGACGUCAUAGAGGGUGAGAAUCCCGUAUGUGAUCGUGGACUUUUGCCUAUGUAAAGCUCUUUCGACGAGUCGAGUUGUUUGGGAAUGCAGCUCUAAAUGGGAGGUAUAUUUCUUCUAAAGCUAAAUAUUGGCCAGAGACCGAUAGCGCACAAGUAGAGUGAUCGAAAGAUGAAAAGCACUUUGGAAAGAGAGUUAAACAGUACGUGAAAUUGUUGAAAGGGAAGCGCUUGCAAUCAGACUUGCAUAUUAUCAAUCAUCCUUGGUUCUCCAUGGUGCACUUGGUAGUAUUCAGGCCAGCAUCGAUUUUGAUGGUGGGAUAAAGGCUUAGGGAACGUGACUUCCUUCGGGGAGUGUUAUAGCCCUAGGUGUAAUGCCGCCUAUCGGGAUCGAGGACCGCGCUUCGGCUAGGAUGCUGGCGUAAUGAUUGUAAGCGACCCGUCUUGAAACACGGACCAAGGAGUCUAACAUCUAUGCGAGUGUUUGGGUGUUAAACCCAUACGCGUAAUUAACGUGAACGGAGGUAAGAACCCUUUAGGGUGCAUUAUCGACCGAUCCUGAUGUCUUCGGAUGGAUUUGAGUAAGAGCAUAGCUGUUGGGACCCGAAAGAUGGUGAACUAUGCCUAAAUAGGGUGAAGCCAGAGGAAACUCUGGUGGAGGCUCGCAGCGGUUCUGACGUGCAAAUCGAUCGUCAAAUUUGGGUAUAGGGGCGAAAGACUAAUCGAACCAUUAACUACUAGGUGGUUAAGACUCUGAAAGGCGUGGCCUAAGAGUAGUCCUUUGGGGCAACACUGUCAAAUUGCUGGGACAUCCUGCCAUUGUAUUACUACCGCAGUUGUAAUGAAAAUUAUAGCGAGCACCAGAAAUGGGGAUGGUAAAAAUGUAAUACUAGGGACAACCUGCAGCAUCUCUAGUUUACUGUAAUACGAGACAGUCACAGACUAAAUGUCAGUGGGUAGUACCACAGUGUACUAUUCUAGGU